UUCAAGCCAUGUCUCCUCAACUCAAUUAUAUUCAUGUGAUUUAACAUCAUACUUUUUUUAUUCCUUCCUUUAGAACAUGUAUGCAAACAUGCAAAAUAUCAUAAUUAAUUUUUGAAGGAAAAAUUUGUAAAAAAUAUUCCACUACUGUACGAAAUAUUUGCGUUAUAUUUUUGGGGUCAUUCAUACUCUAAUUGUUAGAAGCAGAACGAAGGAUAAAUCACCUAACUCUAAUCCAUAACUGAAAAUUAGAGCGGUAACUAUGGGAACUUCUUUUGUGAAGUAUCUUUACACAUAUAAUCACAGUGUUCAGAUCAGUUUGCAUGCACUUUCAUUAAUUUUACGAGGUACCUAUAUAUUUCCUCCUGCUAGCACAAGUAUUGGGUAGUUUUUGGUAUCAAAGAUUAGACAUAUGAAAAAAAAUCACUUUGUGUUUUUGCCUCUGUAGAAUAUAAACAAGAACCCCAAUACCCUAUAAUUUUCAAUCUAUUUCAAUGAUCACCCGAAAACGCCCUUUUCCUAAAGUAUUUUAACAUGUAGAAUUCAUGCAGGAGCUCCAUAUGAAAUUUUAACAGAGACAAUACAUUGUUAACAAGAAGGAUAUAUGAAUAAUAUCAACGUAGUAGAGGAGUAAAUUUGGACAGUCACUCGUUUACAAUAAUUAUGUGUGAUAUUUCUAGUUGGUGUUUCUUCUUGAUUUGUUGCCUUCUUUUUUUUUUUUGCAGGAGAUACAUAAACACAACAAGGAGGCCACCGCCAAGACCACCCAUAAAAACAAAACCACCACAAAACAAUAACUACAAAGACAAGAAAGAGACUCUCAUGGCAAAGGAGAAGAGUACCCUAAAGCUCCAAGAAGAUAAUUCAACGUUCAAAACAAAUUAAAUAGGGAUCUUGUUUGUUAACGAUCACAAUAAGUCAUUUCUACUUAGUAUAAAAGUGUUUGUGAACGGAAAUAACAUCUUCAAGGGAAUCGGGGUUAGAAGAGAGUAAAAUAGCUAUAGGAUAGUAAAAGAAGAUGGACUAUUUGUGCUAUUGUAUUUACUCUUUCGGUUUAUGGAUUAAAUCCGGUUGACUAUGUUGUGUUUGUUACAAUAAAGUUGUCUGUCAAGUACCAAAUGCUUUUAUAAAUUUUAUUUGAAGAAUUAAUUCGAGUUGUUGUUCAAUCACUUGCAUAAAUUUAAAAUAGCUGGCAGAUGUAUAAUAUAUCUAUGAUUCAUGUAUAAUAUGGAUAUAUUCAUAAAUAAUUAA
rnacentral:lncRNA from 1 species